rnacentral:tmRNA from 1 species
GGGGAUGACAGGUUUCGACAGGGCAGGCAGAGAAAUCGGUUGCACUCCGAGUUUCCGCACAGAUAGACUCGUUAAAGAAGUCUGUGCAAAAGUAAAUGCGGAAGAUUAUUCUUACGCAAUGGCUGCCUAAUUAACGCAAGGUUAAUUAGUCAUGCCACGUUUGCAAGCUGAAGCGCCUACACGGAGGCUUGCAAAUGUCAUAAAAUUUGCGCUUGAGCUCUGCUCGCGCGGUAGGCUUCACUUGCAUUGUUCUCAACGGUGCAAGUGAAUAUGCAGUUGAGAUAGCAACAUGAACUGUGUCAAUGCAGUCGCAUGUUGCGAACCUUAAACAUUGACGAUGAGUGUGGGAACCUAUUUCGAUGCUGCUCUGGACGCGGGUUCGAGUCCCGCCAUCUCCACCA